UACGUAGGGUGCAGGCGUUAAUCGGAAUUACUGGGCGUAAAGCGUGCGCAGGCGGUUUGCUAGGACAGGUGUGAAAUCCCCGGGCUUAACCUGGGAACUGCGCUUGUAACUGGCAAGCUAGAGUGUGGCAGAGGGGGGUGGAAUUCCACGUGUAGCAGUGAAAUGCGUAGAGAUGUGGAGGAACACCGAUGGCGAAGGCAGCCCCCUGGGCUAACACUGACGCUCAUGCACGAAAGCGUGGGGAGCAAACAGG
rnacentral:rRNA from 1 species